rnacentral:lncRNA from 1 species
GUGUAUGUAUGCGUAUAUAGGAUUGGGAGGUACUAGGAAUGAGUAGAAACUUGCAUGAGAGGUCAUCGGCGCCAGAACUGUAACUUCCACUAUCCAGUAUAUGAUAAGCAGGAGAAGAACAUGCCCAUGUUUGCUACCCUGGCUAGUACUAGUUACCUCUAACAGCUAAUGAACCUGAAGACCAGGCCAUGUGAUCCAGUGCUUCUGCAUUAGUAGUGUUGGGAUAGGAUACUGGAUUUUUAGCGCCCGGUGUUUGUACACCCUUCUAUAACCACCGUUUAGGCCUUGUUUGGUACUAGUGUUUUUAAAGAGAUUGGUAGGGAUAAUCCCCCAAGGGAUUGGGUGAAACCCCAACCUUUCACCCAAUCCCUUCAAAUCCCCAAUUAUCCCUAAUACACUAGGUAGGGGUAGUGUAUUGAGUAUUGAAAAAAAUGCACUAUAAUUUAGGGAUUUGAGGAGAAAUAUGGGGAUAAAACAUGUCAAAUACACUAGAAUCAAAUGAUGUUAUGAGAUGUGUGGGAAUUGAGGGGUUUGACCGGGAUAAUCUCCACAAAUUCCCUAAAAUACACUAGUACCAAACAAGGCCUUAGGUAUAAGAAGAGUUUUGAGGUUUUGGCAACACACUCUAAUAGUUUUUGUUUAGCAGGCCUCCUUGAACUGUAAGAGCUAGAACUGUGGCCCAUACGACACUUUUGAUUUUAGGCAGAUUCUUCUGCACGCGUGUCACUUCCUGGUCGAGCCGGUGAUUCGAAUAAGCAGCAAUCUGGAAUAAAUGAACAUGCAUCAUUUGGAACUACAUAUCAAUCUUAUAUCCUUCCUGUAAGUGCUC